GAUGAACGCUGGCGGCGUGCUUAACACAUGCAAGUCGAACGGGGAUGCUGACGGAAGGGGUGCUUGCACUCUGGAAAUGAGUAUCUUAGUGGCGGACGGGUGAGUAACGCGUGGGUAACCUGCCCCAUACCGGGGGAUACCACCUGGAAACAGGUGCUAAUACCGCAUAAGCGCACGGGAGCGCAUGCUCCUGUGUGAAAAACUCCGGUGGUAUGGGAUGGACCCGCGUCUGAUUAGCCAGUUGGCAGGGUAACGGCCUACCAAAGCGACGAUCAGUAGCCGGCCUGAGAGGGUGGACGGCCACAUUGGGACUGAGACACGGCCCAA
rnacentral:rRNA from 1 species